CCUACGGGGGGCAGCAGUGAGGAAUAUUGGUCAAUGGACGCGAGUCUGAACCAGCCAAGUAGCGUGAAGGAUGACUGCCCUACGGGUUGUAAACUUCUUUUAUAUGGGAAUAAAACGUUCCACGUGUGGGAUUUUGUAUGUACCAUAUGAAUAAGGAUCGGCUAACUCCGUGCCAGCAGCCGCGGUAAUACGGAGGAUCCGAGCGUUAUCCGGAUUUAUUGGGUUUAAAGGGAGCGUAGGUGGAUUGUUAAGUCAGUUGUGAAAGUUUGCGGCUCAACCGUAAAAUUGCAGUUGAAACUGGCAGUCUUGAGUACAGUAGAGGUAGGCGGAAUUCGUGGUGUAGCGGUGAAAUGCUUAGAUAUCACGAAGAACUCCGAUUGCGAAGGCAGUUCACUGGACUGCAACUGACACUGAGGCUCGAAAGUGUGGGUAUCAAACAGGAUUAGAUACCCGAGUAGUC
rnacentral:rRNA from 1 species